rnacentral:rRNA from 1 species
UACAGAGGUCCCAAGCGUUGUUCGGAUUCACUGGGCGUAAAGGGUGCGUAGGUGGUUGUGCAAGUCUGAUGUGAAAUCUCCGGGCUUAACCCGGAAAUGGCAUUGGAACUGCACAGCUAGAGGUUUGGAGGGGGACUGGAAUUGCUCGGUGUAGCAGUGAAAUGCGUAGAUAUCGAGAGGAACACCAGUGGCGAAGGCGAGUCCCUGGACAACACCUGACACUGAGGCACGAAGCUAGGGGAGCAAACAGG